UGGGCACAGGGUACUGGCUAUCAUAUUUUAGAUGGCACAAAACUCAGCUAACUAUAUUCAGCCACAAUAAGUCUAUACUUCCCAUAUUUCUUUGU